rnacentral:rRNA from 1 species
GAUGAACGCUGGCGGCGUGCCUAAUACAUGCAAGUCGAGCGAACAGACGAGGAGCUUGCUCCUCUGACGUUAGCGGCGGACGGGUGAGUAACACGUGGAUAACCUACCUAUAAGACUGGGAUAACUUCGGGAAACCGGAGCUAAUACCGGAUAAUAUAUUGAACCGCAUGGUUCAAUAGUGAAAGACGGUUUUGCUGUCACUUAUAGAUGGAUCCGCGCCGCAUUAGCUAGUUGGUAAGGUAACGGCUUACCAAGGCAACGAUGCGUAGCCGACCUGUGAGGGGGAUCGGCCACACUGGAACUUGGACACGGUCCAGACUCCUACGGGAGGCAGCAGUAGGGAAUCUUCCGCAAUGGGCGAAAGCCUGACGGAGCAACGCCGCGUGAGUGAUGAAGGUCUUCGGAUCGUAAAACUCUGUUAUUAGGGAAGAACAAAUGUGUAAGUAACUAUGCACGUCUUGACGGUACCUAAUCAGAAAGCCACGGCUAACUACGUG